GACGGGCGUCUCCUGAUUUGAGGUCAGAUGUCAAGAUAUGUGUAAGCGUCUUCCCCACAAGGGAGAGGACACCACAGUUAGAAGCUAGUCCCAUGUACGCUGCACAGUUCACGGCGUACACAAUUAUCACACCGAGAGCCGAUCCGCGAAGGACCAAAGCUAAUGCGUUUAAGAGGAGCCGACAUCACUGCCAGCAAUAAUCCUCCAAGUCCAAGCCGUACAAGGACCUCCUAAAAGGCUUGUAGGUUGAGAAUUUCAUGACACUCAAACAGGCAUGCUCCUCGGAAUACCAAGGAGCGCAGGGUGCGUUCAAAGAUUCGAUGAUUCACUGAAUUCUGCAAUUCACAUUACUUAUCGCAUUUCGCUGCGUUCUUCAUCGAUGCGAGAGCCAAGAGAUCCGUUGCUGAAAGUUGUAUAUAGAUGCGUUAAACGCGGUAUACAUUCCGUUACUUUUAUAGUUUGUAGUAAGACAUAAGCCCCGCGGCUUUGCUGAGCCUCCCAAGAGGGUAAACCCAACGCGACCGAAAAACCUACAGUAAGUGCACAGGUGUAGAGUGGAUUGAGCAGGGCGUGCACAUGCCUCGGAAGGCCAGCUACAACCCGUUUCAAGAACUCGAUAAUGAUCCUUCCGCAGGUCCCCCUACAAAAAG
rnacentral:misc_RNA from 1 species